rnacentral:rRNA from 1 species
CAGCCGCCGCGGUAAUACGAAGGGGGCUAGCGUUGUUCGGAAUUACUGGGCGUAAAGGGCGCGUAGGCGGCCAUUCAAGUUAGAUGUGAAAGCCCUGGGCUCAACCUAGGAGUUGCAUUUGAUACUGUUUGGCUUGAGUUCGGGAGAGGUGAGUGGAAUUCCCAGUGUAGAGGUGGAAUGCGCAGAUAUCAGGAGGAACACCAAUAGCGAAGGCAGCUCGCUGGGACGUUACUGACACUGAGGCGCGAAAGCGUGGGGAGCGAACAGGAUUAGAUACCCCUGUAGUCCCUGUCUCUUAUAA